rnacentral:rRNA from 1 species
CAAUAGCGUAUAUUUAAGUUGUUGCAGUUAAAAAGCUCGUAGUUGGAUUUCGGGUGGGACGCAGCGGUCUCGCAUUGCGUUUGUACUGCUGCAGCCCUCCUUCUUGCCGGGGGCGGCCUCUCGGACUUCACUGUCUGGGGGUCAGAAUCGGCGAUGUUACUUUGAGUAAAUUAGAGUGUUCAAAGCAAGCUUACGCUCUGAAUAUAAUAGCAUGGGAUAACACGACAGGACUCUGGCCUAUCGUGUUGGUCUAUAGGACCAGAGUAAUGAUUAAGAGGGACAGUCGGGGGCAUUCGUAUUCCGUUGUCAGAGGUGAAAUUCUUGGAUUUACGGAAGACGAACAUCCGCGAAAGCAUUUGCCAAGGAUGUUUUCAUUGA